GCUCCUUGACAACCCUGGCGGGGGUUCGCUGGCUGCGGCCCCGGCUCCGGCCCCCGCAGGAGCAGGUCCCCAGAAGUAUGUGUAGUGGUUAGAAAAAGCUCUUUGUAGUCAGGGCCCUUAGUAAACUUGGCUGAAUCAUGGUGACCAAGUCCUGGCUGAUUAACGCUGGUAGCAGAGAGCACUGUGAUAACAGCGCAGAGAGCUUUAACGUUUCAAAUCGCUCACAUACACAUACCUGGGGCUUGCAACAGCUUCCUGAGAACGCAGAGAUAGGAUUUAGUAUCCCGUUUCAUAGAGAAGGAAACCAAGGCUUAGGUGAAAUUACUUGCUGACGGCUGCAAAGAAAGGAAGUGAGCAGAAUGCUCGUCUUUGACAGAGCUGGUCUCCAUGCCUGCACACUCCGGCUUGCGGCCCACACAGUUCUUAGCUCUGCAAGAUGCUGCACAGGUCACUCUCCCACUGGCUUUUCCCCGUUGUUCCUGAGAAAUGGGCCUUGGUCAUACCUCUGAAGUCAUGGGACAUCUCAGCAGGAUUCUGCAUGUUAGAGCAGCUGUCACAGACCCUGACCUCCUGGAGGGUGGCAUGUCCACAACUGGCUCCUGGUUCCCUCCUGGCUCCUACAUGCCAGCACUUUUUAGCCUCCGGGAUGAAUUGAAUCAAAUGGAAACAUCUCAGUGGAAGAUGCCUAAGAAGCUGCUUCCACAUUUUUCAUUGUUCCCCCUUGAAAUUCUCAGAGAUAAACAAACUGUGUGCCCUUU
rnacentral:lncRNA from 10 species